GGCCGGCGGGGCAGGCCGCUGGAGCGGCCGUUCUGGCUGUAGUCCCCGGGGCGAGCAGCGCCAGCCGCCGAGAGGCGCGGCAGCGGCCAGCGCAGCGCUCCCGCUUGGCCUCCGCUGCGGAGGGGAAACUGAGGCACGCAGGCGGGGGGGGCUGCGGGUUGCCAGCUGGCAUCGCUGUCACCAGCGGGACAGCCUUGCCUGGGCUGCUUGCUUGGGGGGUUUUGUUUGUCUUUUUUAAGAGUUCAGACCUUCGCCUCUGCCGGCCGCCCAUUGCUCCUAACGGCAUCCCCCUAUCCCACGCCGCUCCGAGUUCAGCACCGCCCGUGAAAGAGUUCUAGACAAGUUUCACAUCUCAAACUGUGCCCCAACGCAGCCUUUGGUGGACAGCGUUUCAGUUGACAGUGUCAAAAAGAAAAAAAAAACACAACAACAAACCCAAACAGGAGGCUAAUGUGACAUUUUUUUUUGCUCCUUCUCGGAGGGAAAACGGGCAGUUUCAGUUGUGGCCAGCCGAGCACCAGCGUUUUCCUGCCAGCCUCCUGCGGUGCAGAGCCACUUCCUUCCCCGGCACAACCUGCACAAAGGCACCUCCACCUCUUAAAGGCGCACCCGGCCCUUUUGCAGCGAAGCUAGCCUGCAGGUUCCAGCGAAAAACCAAACAAAAUAGAAGCAACAAAAAAGGGGGACUUAAACAAAAAAACACUGGCUCUCCAGCAAAAUUCCUUUCAGCGAAAAAAAUGGCCUCAGCUUUCCUUGCCAUGCUUGCAGUCACUUAACUGUGCUUCAUAAACACCUUAGCAGGGAGAGUCUGCAACAUGACAGAUCCGAGCAGCAAACUAUCACAGAUAUCAAAGAGCAGCUCUUCUCUGAAAGAUGAUUCCACAAAAAAGCAUUGUCAGAUUUCGUGUUCAUUUUUUUCCCUGGGAAUCCACUUCAAAGAAGUAAAAGCAAUCAGAUGAAGCGGUACUGCAAACCAAGCCCUCCAGAAUACUUCUGCAAUCUCUGAGCUGCACAAGCCUGACCGAAGGAAGACUUCUUAACAACAUGGCUGCUACAGGUGGUACAAAACACAGUGCUGGGCCAGUAUCCAUAGCGGAUAGUCCAUACAGCACGGGCAAGCCUUCAGCUAGGUCCUCCUCAGAGAUAGAGGUGGACCCACGGGGCUGCUGCAACAAACCCUUGGACAAAAUGUAGUUUCCAUUGCAGUUGAUCAAAUGUGAGACUCAGUCACACAAAAGAAAAGUACAGAACCCCAUACAACUGGUUUUAUUGCCUUUCAGAGUGGAUGGAUGCUUUAAGGAGCUGUAAAUUACACAGCUCGGCUGGCAGAAUAGGUAAUAGCAAGCAGGAGUUUUAGAGGACUGGCAAAGCAGUAAGAGAAGUACGUCGAUAAUCCCAAACAAGGACCAAAUUCCCUACUAGCGUAACCGCACUGAGUUCAGACUUGGUGGAUGUGAAUGAAACUUAUAAUUGACUGUAACCUUACACAAAUUCUAGGUAAGACACAGAAUGUACAUUUUUGUGCUUGUUUCAGGUUUUACUGCAUUUACAAAUUUUUCACACA